AAAAGUUUUUAACCUGCAGGUGCCCCGUAGGGGAGAAUAGGGAAUCAGGUGAAAAACCUGAGCGGUCUCCGCCACUGUAACCGGGGAGUAGCUCUGCAAUGCCACCGCCAGGGAAGGCGCAGGGCAGGCAAUGAUCCGGGAGCCAGGAUACCUGCCUGCGGGUGCUGUUGGCC
rnacentral:ncRNA from 2 species